rnacentral:lncRNA from 1 species
AGGGGGUAUUUUGGUACAGAGUGAUCAUGUUAAGAUCAAAGAUGAUGUGGAUGGAGAUGAUAAAAUUAUUACAUUUGACUGUACCAUGAUGAUUCUAUGAGACAGUGAUCCUAAAUCAUCCUGCUUCUUAAAUCACUAUUUAAUUACGUGAUGAGAAACUUAUCUUUGAUAUCAGGUACCCAACAUCACCCUAGAGCAAUAAUUUUGGGCUGAAAUUUAGAGAUACUG